CUACGGGUGGCUGCAGUGGGGAAUAUUGGGCAAUGGGCGCAAGCCUGACCCAGUAACGCCGCGUGAGGGAAGAAUGUCUUCGGAUUGUAAACCCCUGUCCUUAGGGACGAAAAAAAUGACGGUACCUAAGGAGGAAGCUCCGGCUAACUACGUGCCAGCAGCCGCGGUAAUACGUAGGGAGCAAGCGUUGUCCGGAAUUAUUGGGCGUAAAGGGUGCGUAGGCGGUAAUCCAAGUCAGAUGUGAAAGACCCGGGCUUAACUCGGGAGGUGCAUUUGAAACUGGGUUACUUGAGUACAGGAGAGGUAAGUGGAAUUCCUAGUGUAGCGGUGAAAUGCGUAGAUAUUAGGAGGAACACCAGUGGCGAAGGCGACUUACUGGACUGUCACUGACGCUGAGGCACGAAAGCGUGGGGAGCAAACAGGAUUAGAUACCCUAGAGUC
rnacentral:rRNA from 1 species